UGCAGAUGUUGUGUUCAGUGUUGCACCA
rnacentral:piRNA from 1 species